CAGACCCCUGCAGGGCAGCUCCCCACUCACCCCUGCACCAUCCUCGCUGUCACAGUGCCUGAUGCCCCAAAACUGGAAGUGUGCCUGCCAUUGCCUUUCCCUGCCUGGUUUCCAGCAGUCCCAUCACAUGGCUCCAAAAAACAGCAUCGGGGUUUUUUUCUAGAACCCAAAUUUAUAAACAAGGGGCAAUGUCCUCUGACAAGACUGGGCAUCCAGUUCCAAUCCAAAGGCUGCCCCUUUGACCAGGCCCAUCUUCUCCACCUCACAUCAGACAGCCAAUCGGCUGCCCAGACCUCGAAACCUCAGUAACCUAGAAGGAAAUGGACCUUGGCAAACGUGUGUCAGGAGAGGAUGACUUGGAGGUGUCCACCGUGUUUCUUACUGAAGGCACGGAGUCCAGGGACACCCCCUGCUGCUGCCUAAGAGAAAGUGGCCCAAGAAGCACUGGCCCGGUGCCUGCUGAUGCCAGGAGCCCUCUGCUACUGCCUGACACAAGCAUCCUGCGCUUCCCCCUCCCAGGCCCUCCCCGAAAGCGUGGGCCACAGGUACCACUCCCUAUGCCACUGAGCCCCACAUUUCCCAUCCCCCAAGCCACUCCCACCAGCCCCAGAGCUUUCCUACAUUUAUGAUUUGUCCAAAAAUGUGAUGCCCUUCAGCCCCCAGAAGGUCAUCCUCCAGGCUGUGAUCGUCACACAGGGGGUCCCACAUGGGGUCCUCACAGGCCUUCAACCCAGCACAAAUCGUGGCCUGGUUUGACCUUUGAAAUAUCUCAACAUCUAAAAUUCAGAGCUUUUUUGGAAUAUUUAUUUUCCAUAGAUAUAAUUC
rnacentral:lncRNA from 1 species